AGCUGGAUCACAUCGGGCAUAAAAGUCGGUGACCCAGCAGGCCUCCUCUUCUUUCCUGCUUCUGCCUUCUCGCCUUCUCUGCUAGUACGUUUACAGCACUCGGCCCUUCCUUUACCUCCGUGCGUCUCUUCAGCUCCUGAGCGUCGCGCUGCCAACAUGAAGUUCAUCGCGUCUGGUGUCUUGCUGUUGCUGCUGCUGUGUGUUGUGGUCGAGUCGAGAAGUGCAAGCACCGUUGCACCUUACAGGAGGACGUGCCCCCCAUUGAAUCCUAGGAUUAUAUGCAUCCGCUAUCAAAUGGACUGUUACUUGCAUGACCCUUCUUCUUGUCCCCGUGGCAAGCAGUGCUGUGAAAUCGAGUGCGGUUUUCGGUGUCUCGUUGUCCAGUAAUCAGUAAUGAGGGUCUCCUAAGCUGCGGUGACUUCUCUGUAAACCGACCAUUAAGUUGCGGCCGCCGCCGCCGCUGCCCCACACUGCAGGAAACAUUGAUAAUUCACAAUUUAAUGUUCACAUGAUACUGUACUGACCAUGUAAAAAAAAAAAAAAAAUGUACACACGCAUUUAAGUAAAGACUGCAUUGCAAUUUCA